rnacentral:rRNA from 1 species
GAGUUGUUGCUGGUCCCCAAAAGGGGGCAUGUGCACAUUCUGUCUACACAUCCACUCACACCUGUGCACUCUCUGUAGCUCUAUGGCCUUGGGGACUCUGUCCCCUUGCUGUGGUCCUACAUCUUUACACACACACCGUAUUACAGUCUCAUGGAAUGCAUGUCGCGUUUAACGCAAUACAAUACAACUUUCAGCAACGGAUCUCUUGGCUCUCGCAUCGAUGAAGAACGCAGCGAAAUGCGAUAAGUAAUGUGAAUUGCAGAAUUCAGUGAAUCAUCGAAUCUUUGAACGCACCUUGCGCCCUUUGGCCAUUCCGAAGGGCAUGCCUGUUUGAGUAUCAUGAACACCUCAACUCUCAUGGUCCGCCAUGAUGAGCUUGGACUUUGGGGGUCUUGCCGGCCUAACCGUUGGCUCCUCUCAAAUGAAUCAGCUUGCCAGUGUUUGGUGGCAUCACGGGUGUGAUAAAUAUCUACGCCUGCGCUCUUCCACCAGGUAACCUUCAGUGAUGGAGGUUCGCUGGAGCUCACAGACGUCCUCUUCCCAUGGAGGACAGCUUUUGAACGUUUGAUCUCAAAUCAGGUAGGACUACCCGCUGAACUUAAGCAUAUCAAUAAGCGGAGGAAA